UACGUAGGGGGCAAGCGUUGUCCGGAUUUAUUGGGCGUAAAGAGCGUGUAGGCGGUUAUACAGGUCCGCUGUGAAAACUGGAGGCUUAACCUCCAGACGUCGGUGGAAACCGUAUAACUAGAGUCCGGAAGAGGAGAGUGGAAUUCCUGGUGUAGGCGGUGAAAUGCGCAGAGUAUCAAGGAAGAACACCCGUGGCGAAGGCGGC
rnacentral:rRNA from 1 species